AAAUCAAUAUACUAGUAUUAAUAUCUGGAAAUUUGAUGUUGUAAGAUGAAGGACCACCAAGGCAAACGACAAAUUCGUAGCCGCUAGCCAUACUAUGAUCUUUUUGCAAAUUGGAGUAAAGAUAGUAGACUAAACAAGGUCAUUACAAGAUAUAAUGUGGGUCUCCAGCACCAUAUAGUAGACUAAACAGGGUCAUUACUAGAUAUAAUAUGGGUUUCUACGACCAUAUAGUAAUUCCCAAAUAGUAGACUAAACAAGGUCAUUACAAGAUAUAAUGUGGGUCUCCAGCACCAUAUAGUAGACUAAUAUAACAUGGGUCUCUAGGACCAUAUAGUAAUUCCCAAAGCUCUAGCUAAGUGUAGUAGUAGUCCUAUUUAGAGUAACGCUUCUUGCAAA
rnacentral:lncRNA from 1 species